rnacentral:misc_RNA from 1 species
GAAUAUUUCUGAUGGGACUUCAAAAGAUAUUCUCUCCCAAAUUUUACUUUGUAUCCCAGAUUUUAUCAUAUGAAAAAUUGGGAAAGUUUUGUAUUCAAUAAGAUCAAUUUAAAUGUUUGUUUGGAAGCAUAAAUGCAAUAAUGUUCAGUUCAAGGAUGAAAAUUGCCUUUAAAAAAAUUUGUACUGCAUAACUUCUCUGAUGUUUCUCGACUAAAUGGCUAUGCAUUUGUCUUUGACCCCUAAUCCUGUUUGUGCAUUGUUGUCAGAGCUUGAGUGCUG